rnacentral:Y_RNA from 1 species
CUUUGGUCCCAGAGUCGCCUGUCUACAACUAAUUGAUUACAACCAGUUGCAGAUAUCUUUGUUCCUUCUUCACUCCCACUGCUUCACUUGACUAGCCUUAA